rnacentral:rRNA from 1 species
GGAAUAUUGGACAAUGGGGGCAACCCUGAUCCAGCAAUGCCGCGUGUGUGAAGAAGGCCUUAGGGUUGUAAAGCUCUUUUACCCGGGAUGAUAAUGACAGUACCGGGAGAAUAAGCCCCGGCUAACUCCGUGCCAGCAGCCGCGGUAAUGCGGAGGGGGCUAGCGUUGUUCGGAAUUACUGGGCGUAAAGCGCGCGUAGGCGGCUUUGUAAGUUAGAGGUGAAAGCCCGGAGCUUAACUCCGGAACUGCCUUUAAGACUGCAUCGCUAGAAUCGUGGAGAGGUGAGUGGAAUUCCGAGUGUAGAGGUGAAAUUCGUAGAUAUUCGGAAGAACACCAGUGGCGAAGGCGACUCACUGGACACGUAUUGACGCUGAGGUGCGAAAGCGUGGGGAGCA